GAAUAAGUUUUUAGAAAAAUUUGGUUAUAGUCAAAUGAGCUUGUGUUUUGGACUUAAUCAAUUGGUUUUGAAUUUUUCUUAGGUUAAGGUCAAUGUCAUUUCCACCCUUUUUUUAAAUUAAUUUGUGCGCGAAUUUAUAUGUGAGCCAGAUCUAGUCUUGGCUCAGAGCGACGACAACCAUGGCUGACGAGUUCGAAUUCGCGGACAAGGUCCCUUCUUCGUUCGAUCGCAGAGAGAAUUGGGAGGGAAUCGAGUCUCCUGGUCUCACAUUUCUCGUCCAAGCUCUCGCUCUUGAUGCUCGCCUUUACUUUUGCUUCUGCACUCUUCAAUUGUUAGUUUCUCUCUCUCUCUCUCUAGGUACACACCUCAGCAGAUUGUGUGUCUUUAGCAUUAUCAGGGACAUUGUUCGCGUGGUCAAAGCCUGCUUUGGUCGUCAGUGAAAUAAACAGAGGACCAAGCUCUGGAAAUAACAUCUCUUUUGAACUAUAAGUUGGGGCAGAGUAUUUCUUUUACUUGAUCAAACAAGUCUCUUCCAGGAAUUGCAGAAAGAAGAAGAAGUGGAGGCAUUGAAAGAGAUAAGGAAAAAGCUGAUGAAGAAAGACUGGGAUUUUGGGGAAAGAUACAGGAGAAGGGCAUUGGACUAUAUCGAUUGAAUGAAGGAGGAUGAAAGGCUUCGAGAGCUUUGUCAUAUGUGACUGCACCUUCAACCACCAUUCAGUUAAAGACAAUUUACUUUCAUUAAACUUCUCAGAUGUACUAGAAUCGUUUUCAGUAAUAAAAAUACAAUUUAGAGUAUUUGUUAA